GGGGAUGUGGUUUAGUGGUAUAAUACUCCCUUAGCAUCAUGGAUUUCCUGGGUAUCGGUCCCUGUUAUUCAGAGCAUGGGAGUGGUCCAGGGUUCGAUUCCCUGCAUCUCCA